GCCCCAGUGGCUCAACGGUUACAGCACCGAACUGAUACUUCGGGUCCUGACGGACUUCCGGGUUCGACUCCCGGCUGGGGCG
rnacentral:tRNA from 1 species